CAUGGCUACAGAAUUUUUUUUUGAUGCUGGCCUCUCAGCAAUUCUCAAUGUUGAGUGGCACAAAAGGGACAGCUCCGAACCCAAAUAUAGCCAGUUUGCAGCAGUGACAGCCAUCCAACGUUGUCUUCCUUUCACAGACUUGAAGAAGACAAAGAUGAUUCUUCUACCAGUUCUACAUCAGCACCAUUGGUCUGUUUAUUGCGUUAACUUUGGCCAAUCACGGAUUGAUGUGCUUGACUCAAUGUUGUACACCCCUGAGUGUGACAACAAUUGGGACAAGUAUCAUUUGGAAUUUGGGAAAAAAAUCAUGCACCGACUAAGUGAUGCUCUCUCCAUUGCUGCACCUCUCAAAUUUAAAUCAUUCAAGAACUGGAGACAUGUCCCGGUCAAGGUUGCCGUCCAGAAGGCCUUGUCGGACAGUGCAUUCUUUGCCAUGAAGUUUCUCGAGUUCUAUGAUGGUGAUGGACAUGGCUCACUACA